CAUGAACCGCGGCGGGGCGGGGGCGGCGCCCGCCUUCCCCGGCCCCGUGCAGUUCCCCGGCAGCACCACGGUGCUGGUGGAGCUGACCCCCGACAUCCACAUCUGCGGCAUCUGCAAGCAGCAGUUCAACAACCUGGACGCCUUCGUGGGGCACAAGCAGAGCGGCUGCCAGCUCACCAGUGCCACGGCCGGUGCCACCAGCACCGUCCAGUUCGUGUCCGAGGAGACCGUGCCCAGCACACAGGCUCAGAGCAGCAGCAGGACCAUCGCCUCCGAGACACAAACCAUCACAGUUUCUGCCCCAGAGUUUGUUUUUGAGCAUGGCUACCAAACCUACCUGCCCAGCGAGAGCACGGAGCCUCCAGCUGCUGCUGUCAUCUCCACACCACCAAAAGCAAGGUCCAAGAAAUCUUCCUCCUCCUCCCUGCCCCUGAAGAAACUCAGCUGCCUGUACCCAGGGUGCCAGUUCAAGACUUCCUAUGGUAUGAAGGAUCUGGAACGUCAUCGGCGAACGCACACAGGAGACAAGCCCCACAAGUGCGAGGUGUGCAGCAAGUGCUUCAGCCGCAAGGACAAGCUGAAGAUGCACAUGCGCUCGCACACGGGCGUGAAGCCCUACAAGUGCAAGCACUGCGAGUACGCGGCGGCCGACAGCAGCAGCCUCAACAAGCACCAGCGCAUCCACUCCAACGAGCGCCCCUUCAAGUGCCAGAUCUGCCCCUAUGCCAGCCGCAACUCCAGCCAGCUCACCGUGCACCUGCGCUCGCACACAGGAGAUGCCCCUUUCCAGUGCCAGCUGUGCCCCGCCAAGUUCAAGAUCAACUCGGACCUGAAGCGGCACCUGCGGGUGCACUCGGGGGAGAAGCCCUACAAGUGCGAGUUCUGCGAGGUGCGCUGCGCCAUGAAGGGCAACCUGAAAUCCCACAUGCGCAUCAAGCACAGCACGGAGAACACCCUCAAGUGCCCCGAGUGCGACUUCCAGUGCGGCAACAAGACCAGCCUGCGGCACCACAUCCGCAGCCACCAGCCCGAGCAGCCCGUCAAGUGCUCCGAGUGCAGCUACUCGUGCUCCUCCAAGGCGGCCCUCAAGGUUCACGAGCGCAUCCACGGCAAGGAGCGGCCCUUCAAGUGCGACCUGUGCAGCUUCGACACCAAGCAGCGCAGCAACCUCACCACCCACGUCCGCAAGGCCCACGGCGACAGGGCCAAGGGCGGCAAGCGCUCGCCGGACAAGAAGGAAGGGGAGAGGCCGAAGCAGGGCGGCUCCAGGCAGGUCGCCAAGCUGGACGCCAAGAAGGCCUUUAAGUGCGACCUGUGCGACGCGUCCUUCGUGCGGGAGGACUCCCUGCGCAGCCACAAGAAGCAGCACAGCCUGUACAGUGGCUCCAAGAACGGCGAGCUGGCCGUGCUGCAGCUCCAGAUGGAUGCCGGCCGCCAGCCCGGCGCCCCCAUCACCGUCAGCCACCUCCAGGUGCCGCUUCAGGCCGCUCAGGUGGCCCCGUACAACGAGGGCAGAGUCAAGAUCAUCGUGGGCCACCAGGUGCCUCCCCAGGCCAACAGCAUCGUGCAGGCGGCCUCGGUGAACGUGGUGCCGCCGGGGCUGCUGGGCGCGGGCCAGGAGGAGGUGCUGGGCGGGGGCCGCCUGCAGCUGCUGGGCCAGGUCAGCGUGCUGGCCCCGGCCACAGGGAGCACAGGGGACACGGGCCCGGGGGCAGAGCCGGCCGUGCUGCUGACCGCCCACGAGCAGGGCGAGGGCACCGCCCUGCACCAGGCCCUGCUCCCCGGGGCCGCCCCCGGCCAUGAGCCCCCUGCCGGCCAGGCCUUCAUCGCCGGCUCCGGCAUCAGCUGCUCCGACCUGGAGGGGCUCAACGCCCUCAUCCAGGACGGGGCAGCGGAGGUGACCGUGGUCAGCGAUGGUGGGCAGAGCAUCACCGUGUCCACGGCUGCUCCUCCUCCCCCCAUCUUCUCGUCCUCAUCCCACUCUGAGGGCCCCAAGCAGAGCUACUCCAUCAUCCAGAGCGGGGCUCACACAGCCCUGCUGUGUCCUGCAGACUCCAUCCCUGAUUAGGGGCUGCUCUGGGCAGGGCGGUGUUCUGGACUCAGGGGCUGCUCUGGGCACUGCUCUCUCCAGGGGCAGUGCUGAGAGACUGAACACAGGAUUUGUCCUCCAGAGCCAAAUACCUUCCACGCUGUGUUUGUCUGUACACUGAAGCAUCUCGUGUGUGAGGAGGAGGAGGAGGAGGAGGGUUUGUCUGUAUUUCUGUAUUUCUGUGCCUCUGCUGGAGUCAGAGGCCCUGCUCCUUGGGAAGCAGCUGCUGCCAGUGUCCCCCAGCAGUGACACCCCCGGCUAUGGCUCCUAUACUGUGCUGCCUGAAGAAGAAAUCCUCUGCUUGUGCUGAAUUACCUCCAGAGCAGCCCUGUUGUUUGAUGCACAGAUGAAAAGACAAUAACCUGAGCCCUUGUGGAGUUUGCUGGACUGAGGUCUCGGUUCUGGCUCUGUGUGCAUUCAGUGCUCCUGGCUGGGCUCUGAGGAACCUCACUGCUGCUCCAGCCCAGGUGAAAUCCGAAGGGCUGCUCCUCAGUAUCUGUAGAAUCAGUAGCCCCUGGCACUUGAGAUGCUGGUGCAGAGAGCAGCAGAAAUUCAGGUCGGAUCACAAGGAGAUGAACCAUCCCAGGAGGGAGCCUGGUAAUUCAGAACAAGUGUCUCCUGUAGAGCUCUCCUGCUUCUGAGCACAUGGUAAAUAAAUCCCAUCCCUCCCUCCCUGAGGUCUGCCACGGCCUCAGAGCUCUGGAGCAGGCUGGCUCUUUCCAGGACCAAAUACUGGCAUGGAUUUUUGUUCCUGCUGCCUGGAGAUCCCUAAGCUCCCCUGGUAAGUGCUGGGCCCAGGAGCAAAGCUCAGUGUUCCAGUGCUGCCCACCCAGCACAGCCCUGGCUCCCAAGGGAAGUGUAAAUUUGGAUAUCCCACCCCAGAACAGCCCUGGCUCCCAAGGGAAGGGACAAUCUGGAUAUCCCACCCAGCACAGCCCUGGUUGCUAGAGGAAGGUAUAAAUGUGGAUAUCCCACCCAGCAUAGCCCUGGUUCCUAGAGGCACGUGUAAAUUUGGAUACCCCACCCAGCACAGCCCUGGCAGGCUCUGCUCUCUGCCCAGGUUUUUCCCAGGUUUCCUCAGGGCUGUGUGGGUUUAUGGUGUGUCACAGCCUCCCUCCUCUCUGAGGAUGAACUUCAGCCUGCUCAGAGAUCUGAGGUUAAACUGGGCGGGCAGAGGUGCAAAACCUGUGUGCAUUUCCAACAAACCAACCCCAGCCCUUUGGGGUUUGCUGCUGUUCCUGACGCUGCUUUUUAAAGCCAGACCCGGUUCCACAUAGCUGAUCCUCCAGCAGACCUGCUGAAAUGUGCUUUUCUGCUGUGCUUUUGUGAGGCAGGAACACAACAGGAAAAAAUGCUGAAGAAUAAUGUGUUGGGACCCCUUUAACUGUGGUUUGGGGAGGCUGGUUCUGACUGAGCCCCAGCUCAGUGUUCCUAGUGGGGUUUGAACAGCAUGGGAUUAAACCUUAUCAGUGGUGCUGUAUCUUUUAGGUGGUUUUGAUAAAAACUUUAUUUGCAUCAAAAUGGGAGAUUCCUGCUCCAAACCAGCCUCAGGUGUCCCAUGCAGGGGGGAUUCCUUGAUAUGCCCAGGAAGCACUCCUGGCUGAGGGGAUGGGACCAAUCCCCCACCUCAGAUGAGGCCCAAAAGCAGCAGAACCUGGCCCAAAGCUGGCUCUCUUGGGAGCUGGGGGAAAACCAAACUUGUAUUGAAUACUCGUGGGGCUUGCAACUGAAAAAUUGUAACCAAAAUAUUUCCCAGUCAUUUUGGGAAUGAGCUCUCUGUUACUGCUGUCAUCUGACUGCACUGGGAAGUACCUUCUGGUGUGGGGUUUAAAAUGUCAGAGACAUGCCAAGAUAUUUUCUCUACAAUACAAAGAUCAGGGGAAAGGCUUGUGGUUUUUUUGGUUUUUGUUUGUUUGUUUUUUGUUUUUUUUUUUUAUUUAGAUACCUUUGUUUUAUUCUGUAUUUCUGAUUCUUUAUUUGUGUUUGAAGUCAAAGCAUAGUCAGUCAUUCUUUUUGCACUGUGCUAUUCUGGUAGCUGCAAAGAUAUUUUCCGUGUCCUCGAUGGCAAGACCUCUAUCGUAUAAUUGCAGGAGUAUUGACUGGCUACUCUAAUGGCUUUUUACAUCUCCAGUUGGAAAAUCUUUAGCCUUGUUAUUUAAAUUUUAAGAAGAGAAACCAAUAUUGUUACAAGAAGCUGAUGUCUCCUGUCACUUCCCCAGUGACCUUUCAUGAGGUGAUAAAGGUUUCUAUAGUGACCCGAGGAAAUGAUGUCUCAGGUAUCAGCGUGAAUUAAAAGUCUGUGGCAGGAAAAGCUUUCUUUUCUCUGUCUCUCAGGUAUCCAAUUCUGCUUUGUCUUUAUUCCAGUGGCUGGGCAUGGAGAAGGACUCAUAAAACAUCCAGUAUUUGGUUACAGGGCUGUCUUUAGAGGCUUCACAAUGUUGUAGGGAAGGAAAAGCAGCCAUGGCAAAGCAGAGGUGGGUUUUUACAGGCUGUGUCCAUGGCACCACUGAAUUCUGUACCUGUGGGAUCAGCCAGUUCUUUCCACCAGCCUCAGGAGCUGUGUUUGCCUCUCUAGAACCAGGAAUUGUCACUGACUGCAGACUCAGCUUUGACAGAGGUGUUUAUGUUCCUCGAUUCAGACCUUGUGUAAACCUACCUUUAAUUCUGAAAGUGAAAGCUCUGGUUAGUGAGAGUGGCUGCAUUUUGUAGGUAAAAGUUGAACUUGAUCUGGGAAAUAAUUAACUGAGGGCCUGCAGAGUGCUUUGAGGUAUUUUUAUUUGGUUGUUGUCUUUUGGUUUGGUUUUAUUUUAAAGGCACAAGGAUGCAUUUGUGCCUUCUUGUGCUGCUGGGUGAAACAACCUGUUAUCAAUGUCUUCCAGUUUAUCUACCCUGAUGGGAGACGCCUAAAAAAGCCUCGGAGAAACCUGCAGCGUUUUCAGCUUGAGUUUCCCAUUGAUGUCCUCCGAAGUGAAGGAAAGCUGAGAAAUCUCUGUGCUGUCUGUGCUGGCAGGGUUGAAAUCAAGGCUGGCCCUGGUCCCUGGUGCUCUGAGCUGUCAGACAAUUUCCCAUCACUUUGCUCCCCAAGCCCUGGGCCAGCAGAGGCAGAGCAAGGCCAGCCCUGAGCUCUCACCUCCUCUGCCUGGUGCUUGUAUUUGCACUUUUUUCAUGUCAAACUGAAGGAAAAAUCCUCCCCACGCCUUUUCCUAGCACAGCUCUCAGCUUCCUCCUCCCAAAGUGUGGCUGCACUUCCUGCCAUAAUUAAUUACUGGCCAUAAUUCAUGAUUCCAUCAGCAAUAUCAGUACAUCAGCUAUCAUUUUAUCAGUGUUUGCACUGGAGCUGUGCUGCUGGACUCCCCACCUGCAGAAGGUGCCUCACAAGGAUAUGGUGAGCAUGGGAAUAACUUGGAUACCUCAGUGAUGAGCCAGAUGCAAAUUCCCAGAUAGAUCCUGGAGAUAGUCACAUCUCCUGAUGGCCCAGAGGAAAAUCUGAAAGAACAGGAAUGCAUAAAGCUCCGCUGCAUAAUGCAUGGCAGUCAUAAUUAAUAGAUUACAGUUCUUUGUGAAACAUGCUUUUUUAUUCUAAUAAAGGGAAGGGACUACAAAUGGUGACACAGUUUGAACAGAGCAGCAAUGGGAGAUGCCAUGUUAGAGUUGUAAAGCUAAAGAGGUGAUAAAAAUGUACCUCGGGUUUAAAUUUUUACAAGGCUGAUGUAAGACUUAUUACCUUAAAUAGCAGCACUUUUCCUUGUCUCUGGGCACGCUGGAUCCUUCUGGCUCUCAAAGUACAUGAAAUUGCUGGGGCAUUAUUAAAAACUUGCUGCUCAGUUCUGCCUAAAAAGUUCAGGAUUCAUCCUUUGAAUCACUUUGCCUUAACAAUGUUAAAUUUUGCUUUUGUUGUAAAAUCAUGCAGAUCAGCCAUUGAUAGAACUUUAAUUGGCUGGGGAUGCUCAUGAUUUUUUUCCUUUAAAAAAAAAAAAAGCCUGCCAGCAAAAUUGCUUUUUGGUGAUGACUCUGCUUGAAAAGUGCUCUGCAGGGGCCCAUUCCCAAUUGAUUAUCUUUCACAGCUAAUAGCUUCAAAGGCUAUUUGGUGGACAGUCCAGUUUUACAUUUAAAUGUAAAUCUCGAUAGCCUUGACAGACUGAUGGUCAGAAAAAAGAAAGGUAAAACCAGUAAAAUGGAUGUACAGCUGCUAUAACUUUCACCAGCUCCUCCAGGGGCAACUGCAGUGAAAUUUAAAUGGUUGCAGUCUCACAAAGCUCUUGGGAGGGGAUGGAGGGUGGGAAUUCCCUGGGAUGCAGCAUUAAUAAGGUGCCGAGUGGCCUGGCAACCCUAAAAGUUCAGUGUGGUGUCAGUGGCUCCCAUUUGUGCUGCCUCUGGGGUCAGGAGGGGAGUUCAGAGCUCUGGAGCCACCUGGGCAAAGGCAGACCUUGGAUGGAGCCAGGGCAGGGGACACACCAGGGAUGGCUCAGUCCUGCUGGCCUGGCCAUGGCAGAGGUGCCACAGCCCCUGGGACCAGGGGGCUGCCUGAGUGCAAUCUGAAUUCUCACAGCCCUUAAAUCCCACAUCACUGGGUUGGAAGAGACCUCCAGGAUCAUCCAGCCCAGCCCCAGCACCUCAGGCAGACCCUGGCACCCAGUGCCACACCCAGGCUGUUUACAAACUCAGGGAUGGUGACUCCACCACCUCCCUGGGCAGCCAUUCCAGAACUUUCACUUUUCUGGAAAAAACCUUUUCCUAACAUCCAAAAUUUCCUAAUAUCCAACCUAAAUUUCCCUUAGCAUAGCUUCAGACUCACCGGAGUGACUGCUAACCCUAACUCUCAUCCUGCCUGGCAGAAAGGGGGACAGGGAGCUCCUCAGCCCCCCGACACCUCAGCAGCUCUGAGGAGGGGCCUUUUUCCUCAUUUUUGAUCUUUGUUGCCAUGGAAACAGAGCACGGACACUCACUGCUCCUUCCCCCUGCCUGCUCCUCAGGGCCAAACAAGUCCAGAAUUUUCCAGGCUCCCAAAGGAAGGGAAAAUGAGGGAGAGGAAGGGAGAAUGGUCAGUGUAGAGCCCAUGGAGAAACUGGAGAUCAAGGAGGGAAUGUCUAAGGAAAAGAGAAAAGUGGUUCAGGGGUACCCGGGGAUGGGGAGGUGUUUGUCUUGGGAAAACACCCCUUGUCCCCUACUGCCAUUUUCCUAUGGAUUUCUGGAAUCUUCUGCAUAAAGUAAGAAAACGAGAGAAUGCUUUUGUUUAAAUGAAGUUUAAAUUCCACUCCAGUGGCACAAUAUUCCUGUGCAGUGGAGUAAAGGACACCUAAACAUUUUUAGUUUUUCUUCUUCAUCUUUUCUUUUUUUCUUUCCCCUCUGGAUGUUUUUUGUUGGGUUUUUGUUGUUGUUUUGGAGUGGUUUUGUUUGUUUUUCUUUGUUGUUGUUGUUUAACUUGGUUUGGGGGUUUUGGGUUUUUUUUUUGCUUUCAACUUCUACAGCUCCAUAAAUCCUCUGCACCAAAUCCCAAACUGCCUCAGGAGUGCUGUCCAGCACAUUGAUCGUGGCAAAAUGGGAUCAAACCCAGGCCAAACCCACCUGUCUUUCAUUUGUCCUUCAGGGCAGCGCCAUAAAUUAACAAUGAUGUGAAAUUGUCAGUGAAAUCAUCUCCUCCUUCCAACACCAAAUUCAUAAAAAUGCAGAGGACACGUUUAACAAAAACUGACGCUUGUUCCUCCUUCCCCUGCUAAAUUCACUGCCCCAUUUUUUAUUUAAUGAGGAUGCACAAGGCAAGAAUCAGCAGAGCUGAGGUCCCAUCAGCCACGAGGAGAGGGUUUGUGCCAGG